CAGCACCUCAAGUGGUCAGGAUGAUUAUUGGGCCUAAAGCAUCCGUAGCUUGCUUUGUCAGUUUUCGGUUAAAUCCAUACGCUCAACGUAUGGGCUGCCGGGAAUACUGCAAGGCUAGGGAGUGGGAGAGGUAGACGGUACUCGGUAGGAAGGGGUAAAAUCCUUUGAUCUAUUGCUGACCACCUGUGGCGAAGGCGGUCUACCAGAACACGUCCGACGGUGAGGGAUGAAAGCUGGGGGAGCAAACCGGAUUAGAUACCCGGGUAGUC
rnacentral:rRNA from 1 species